rnacentral:rRNA from 1 species
CCUACGGGAGGCAGCAGUCGAGAAUCAUUCACAAUGGGGGAAACCCUGAUGGUGCGACGCCGCGUGGGGGAAUGAAGGUCUUCGGAUUGUAAACCCCUGUCAUGUGGGAGCAAAUUAAAAAGAUAGUACCACAAGAGGAAGAGACGGCUAACUCUGUGCCAGCAGCCGCGGUAAUACAGAGGUCUCAAGCGUUGUUCGGAAUCACUGGGCGUAAAGCGUGCGUAGGCUGUUUCGUAAGUCGUGUGUGAAAGGCGCGGGCUCAACCCGCGGACGGCACAUGAUACUGCGAGACUAGAGUAGUGGAGGGGGAACCGGAAUUCGCGGUGUAGCAGUGAAAUGCGUAGAUAUCGAGAGGAACACUCGUGGCGAAGGCGGGUUCCUGGACAUUAACUGACGCUGAGGCACGAAGGCCAGGGGAGCGAAAGGGAUUAGAUACCCGGGUAGUC